CGGCAACAGCUCAAAUUUGAAAUCUGGCUCUCUCAGGGUCCGAGUUGUAAUUUGUAGAAGAUGCUUCGGGUGUGGUACCGGUCUAAGUUCCUUGGAACAGGACGCCAUAGAGGGUGAGAGCCCCGUCUGGUCGGAUACCGCGUCUCUGUAAAGCUCCUUCGAC
rnacentral:rRNA from 1 species